UGAGGAAUAUUGCGCAAUGGACGAAAGUCUGACGCAGCCAUGCCGCGUGCAGGAUGACGGCGCUACGCGUUGUAAACUGCUUUUAUAUGCCAAGAAACCUUCGGACGUGUCCGAAGCUGACGGUAGCAUAUGAAUAAGCACCGGCUAACUCCGUGCCAGCAGCCGCGGUAAUACGGAGGGUGCAAGCGUUAUCCGGAUUUAUUGGGUUUAAAGGGUCCGUAGGCGGAUCAUUAAGUCAGUGGUGAAAGCCGGCAGCUCAACUGUCGAACUGCCAUUGAUACUGAUGAUCUUGAAUACGGUUGAAGUUGGCGGAAUAGGUCAUGUAGCGGUGAAAUGCUUAGAUAUGACCUAGAACACCGAUUGCGAAGGCAGCCAACUAAGCCGUUAUUGACGCUGAGGGACGAAAGCGUGGGGAGCGAACAGG
rnacentral:rRNA from 1 species